AAGAGUUGCAAGACUCCCUAAAACCAUUGUGAACCUUACCUAGAUCGUUUCUUCGGCAGGCGGCGUUAGCCCUAACCGACCCUUUCUUCCGGGGGGGGAGACCUGCCGGAGGCUCCUAAACUCUUGAUUUUUAGUUGGUAUCAUCUGAGUAAACUUUUAAUAAGUCA
rnacentral:misc_RNA from 1 species